rnacentral:rRNA from 1 species
AAUCUUCCACAAUGGGCGAAAGCCUGAUGGAGCGACGCCGCGUGAGGGAUGAAGGCCUUAGGGUUGUAAACCUCUAAAAGAGGGACGAUAAUGACGGUACCUCUUGAAUAGCACCGGCUAACUCCGUGCCAGCAGCCGCGGUAAUACGGAGGGUGCAAGCGUUAUCCGGAAUCACUGGGCGUAAAGGGCGCGUAGGCGGUCUGUUAAGUCCGAUGUUAAAUCCCGGGGCUCAACCCCGGAUAAGCGUUGGAUACUGGCAGGCUAGACGGUUGGGAAGGCGAGUGGAAUUACCAGUGUAGCGGUGGAAUGCGUAGAUGCUUGUAGGAACACCUAUUGCGAAGGCAGCUCGCUGGACAACACGUGACGCUGAGGCGCGAAAGUGUG